rnacentral:tRNA from 1 species
GGGCAGUUACCAGAGUGGCCAAAUGGGGCAGACUGUAAAUCUGCUGGCUGAUGCCUACGGUGGUUCGAAUCCAUCACUGCCCA